rnacentral:rRNA from 1 species
UACGUAGGGGGCAAGCGUUGUCCGGAAUCAUUGGGCGUAAAGAGCGCGUAGGCGGCCCUGUAAGUCCGCUGUGAAAGUCAAGGGCUCAACCCUUGGAUGCCGGUGGAUACUGCAGGGCUAGAGUCCGGAAGAGGCGAGUGGAAUUCCUGGUGUAGCGGUGAAAUGCGCAGAUAUCAGGAGGAAUACCGGUGGCGAAGGCGGCAUCCUGGACCGGCAUUGACGCUGAGGAGCGAAAGCCAGGGGAGCAAACGGG